UCAAGAAACUUCCACAAUGGGCGAAAGCCUGAUGGAGCGACGUCGCGUGAUGGACGAAGUGCUUCGGCACGUAAACAUCUUUUUAUGUGGGAUGAAAUUAUUGACAGUACCACAUGAAUAAGGGGCUCCUAACUCUGUGCCAGCAGGAGCGGUAAUACAGAGGCCCCAAGCGUUAUCCGGAAUCACUGGGCGUAAAGGGUGUCGAGGCGGUUGUAUUAGUCGUUCGUAAAAUCUACGAGCUUAACUUGUAGGCGGCGAACGAAACGGUACGACUUGAGGUUUGGAGAGGUGCGUGGAACUCACGGUGUAGGGGUGAAAUCCGUUGAUAUCGUGGGGAACACCAAAGGCGAAGGCAGCGCACUGGCCAAAAUCUGACGCUCACACACGAAAGCUAGGGUAGCGAAGAGGAUUAGAUACCCAAGUAGUCCCUGAGCGGGCUGGCAAGGC
rnacentral:rRNA from 1 species